AGAAGCUUAAGUUAUACAUAAACUAGCGACCUUCAAAGCCGCCAAAAAAUCCUGCUUUAGCUUCUGCCUA
rnacentral:tRNA from 1 species